rnacentral:rRNA from 1 species
GACGGAGGGUGCUAGCGUUGUUCGGAAUGACUGGGCGUAAAGGGCGCGUAGGCGGCUCGUGAAGUCGGGUGUGAAAGCCCGGGGCUCAACCCCGGAACGGCAUCCGAUACUGGCGGGCUUGAGACCGGGAGAGGAGGGUGGAAUACCCAGUGUAGAGGUGAAAUUCGUAGAUAUUGGGUGGAACACCGGUGGCGAAAGCGGCUCUCGGGCCCGGAUCUGACGCUGAGGCGCGAAAGCGUGGGGAGCAAACAGG